rnacentral:misc_RNA from 1 species
GAUGAAGAACGUAGCGAAAUGCGAUAAGUAGUGUGAAUUGCAGAAUUCAGUGAAUCAUCGAAUCUUUGAACGCACAUUGCGCCCCCUGGUAUUCCGGGGGGCAUGCCUGUCCGAGCGUCAUUGCAACCCUCAAGCGCGGCUUGCGUGUUGGGCGCCGUCCCCCGUGGACGCGCCCGAAAGGCAGUGGCGGUACCGUGCUCCGGUGCCCGAGCGUAUGGGCUUAAAACCCGCUCUUGUGGCCCGGCCGGCGCUGGCCUCGACCCCCAACUUUACAAGGUUGACCUCGGAUCAGGUAGGGAUACCCGCUGAACUUAAGCAUAUCAAUAAGCGGAGGA